AGAAUCAGCAGGUGCAAUGAAGCCUGACAGUUUUCCUGAUUUACCUCCAACAUGCAAAUUAAAAGUGCUCUCGCGCUUUUUCCAAAGGAGUGUUUCUCGCGUAUUUUCCAAAGGAGCGUUUCUGAGUGAAGUUCGACGUUCACCUGACUUUAGCAUUUACUUCUCUAGGACUUCUCUAGGACUAGAGCUAGUGCCUUCAGAAGACGCAUCUCCAAGGUGGCGCCCCUCGCGGGCCCCGGCUCUGGGCACAGAGGACAGAAAGAACAAGGAAGAGAAGGAGAGAGCUCUGGUGUUCAUGCUCUCCUUCGUCAGUGCUACAACCAUGUAUCGGGCACCGGUGAUGUACGGGCUGCACUUCAGACUCUGGGGGUACUGGGGUGGCAGGACAACAGCGUCACUGCCCUCCAGAGCUCACGGCUCUUCCUCGGAGCAUGAGUCAAAUGGAAACAGAGAUGGCCUGCCUGCCUCCAGGACCCCCUUCCCUGCCACCAAUGCCAGCAGCCUGGGAACCAGCUCUUCCUCCAGGAUCAGCUCCAGCACCAGUCCGGGGCGAGCUCACACCCACCCACCCACUGAACGUCGGGACAUUCCCUUCUCCCACGGCACCAACUGUACUCUCCCGUGGGCACCCCCGCCCUGAUGCAGCUAUUUCUGCGACAUCGACGUACUUUCUACCCUCUUACCAAUGGGUUUCUCCUUUGUAGUGCACCCACCCAUCCUGCAAGUAUUUUGAGCAUAUGCUGGUCUUCAAUGGUAAGUCCUUAGAGGACACUGAUUGUUCACUUAAGCUUAUAAGCGAAGUUACACCCAUCACAGCACCUCACCUCCUUAAGAUUACUUUAUGAGAGGGAGGGGAGGGGCAGACAAAGGCAAAGGUGACAAGGGACUGAAAAUAAAAUAAGCCUGUGAAGGCAUCUGAACAAAUGGUAAUACAAUUACUAUAUGUUAAAUAUAAGAAUAAACAUAAAGAACCCUUAUAGCUCUUAUAUAUAACUGUUAUAUGUUAUUUCAUAUCCAUAAAUGUUAUUAUAUACAUAAUUUUAUAUUAUCUCCAUGUAUCUAA
rnacentral:lncRNA from 1 species